AUUGAACGCUGGCGGCAGGCCUAACACAUGCAAGUCGAACGAGUGGCGGACGGGUGCGUAAUGUCUGGGAAACUGCCCGAUGGAGGGGGAUAACUACUGGAAACGGUAGCUAAUACCGCAUACCAUCGGAUGUGCCCAGAUGGGUUUAGCUAGUAGGGGGGGUAACGGCUCACCUAGGCGACGAUCCCUAGCUGGUCUGAGAGGAUGACCAGCCAAAGUGAAGCGUGGACAGGGUCCAGACUCCGACGGGAGGCAGCAGUGGGGAAUAUUGAACAAGUGGCGCAGGCCUGAUGCAGCCAUGCCGGGUGUAUGAAGAAGGCCUGCGGGUUGUAAAGUACUUUCAGCGGGGAGGCGUUACUCGCAGAAGAAGCACCGGCUAACUCCGUGCCAGCAGCCGCGGUAAUA
rnacentral:rRNA from 1 species